GAUGAACGCUGGCGGCGUGCCUAAUACAUGCAAGUCGAGCGAACAGAUAAGGAGCUUGCUCCUUUGACGUUAGCGGCGGACGGGUGAGUAACACGUGGGUAACCUACCUAUAAGACUGGAAUAACUCCGGGAAACCGGGGCUAAUGCCGGAUAACAUGUUGAACCGCAUGGUUCUACAGUGAAAGGCGGCUUUGCUGUCACUUAUAGAUGGACCCGCGCCGUAUUAGCUAGUUGGUGAGGUAACGGCUCACCAAGGCAACGAUACGUAGCCGACCUGAGAGGGGGAUCGGCCACACGGGAACUGAGACACGGUCCAGACUCCUACGGGAGGCAGCAGUAGGGAAUCUUCCGCAAUGGGCGAAAGCCUGACGGAGCAACGCCGCGUGAGUGAUGAAGGUCUUCGGAUCGUAAAACUCUGUUAUUAGGGAAGAACAAAUGCGUAAGUAACUGUGCGCGUCUUGACGGUACCUAAUCAGAAAGCCACGGCUAACUACGUG
rnacentral:rRNA from 1 species